AGAGGACCUAGAGGUUGAUACCUGCCUGUCCAUUUCUCUCUUCAGCCCAGGUUCGGGAAAGCAAAUUCAGGCUGCAGGACAGCUGCCCGGGCCCCCCACAAGCCUGGCACCAGCCCAGGGAAGACUGAGGAGCCUCACUCCAUGGGGACUGAGCUCCUUCCCUUGCGUUCUGUUCCACACACUUUUUGGGCUGGAAGAAUCCCCUGGCUAGAGAAGCUCAUGUCCUGGUGGUGGAAGAGAUGCCGCCCUACAGCCCAAGGCCUUAUGCAAAGCAGGUGAACAGAAGCCACCCCCACCCCAACCUGGUCUUUCCUGACCCUGUGAGCCCCAAAGUCUGUAGUGAGCCCCUUUCCAGCAGAAGCCACAGGGACAUGUAGGCUGCCAGGGUCCAGGGUGUCACGAGGACCCCGUGCCUGGCAAAUCACUGUGACAAGCUUGGCUGAAACAGUACCCCCUGGGAGGAAGGCCUUGUUUUUCCUUGUUUCCCUGGGAUCCUUGGAACUGCUCUGGAGCUGCUGGUGAGGAGGAGGGCGGUGCCGUGACCAGGUCCCCUACUCCACUGGCAUGGGGCAGGAUCAGUGGUGUGUCUGAGCCCCUGGGGGGAAUAACAGCUCUGAUAACAAUGGCAGCCAUGAUGGCUGUGAAAAGUGAAAGCUCUCCUGGGCGCUUUCCUACACAGCCUCAAGUCACUCCUUAAAAAGCCCUAUGGCCUAAAGCAUGCCACUUCCAUUUCGGGGAAGAGGGAACUGAAGCACACAGAUAGGAAGUCACCUGGCCAAGAUUACACGGCCAGGGAAUGGUGGGGCCGCACUUUGGAUCUGAUCAGUCUGACUCCAGAAUAAUCUCACCCGCCACACGGCACAGCCUCCUGACCAGGGCAGCAGGCUCAGAGAGAGUCCCUGGUGGCAUCGCCUCCACUGUAUCCUGGGAGGGGCAGCAGAACGGCAGCUCCAGUGUGGACCAGCCCCUCUGCACCCAGGGGAUACCUGGCAGCUCCAGGUGUCCGUGGAAGGAGGUUAGCACACAUUUUUCAGUGUAAUUUUGUAUGAGAAGGGUAGACAGUGGCUCACACCUGAAAUCCCAGCACUUUGGGAGGCCGAGGCAGGCGGAUGAUUUGAGGCCAUGAGUUUGAGACCAGCUUGGGCAACACAGCAAGACCCUGUCUCUGUGAAAAAUUUAAAAAAUUAGCUGGGUGUGGUGGUACAUUCCUAUGGUCCCAGCCACUCGGGAGGCUGAAGUGGGAGGAUUAUAAGAUCCCAGCUGCUGCCAGCUCCCAGCUGUCAGCUCACCUAUGGUGAGCUAUGACUGUGUCACUGUACUCCAGCCUGGGUGACAGAGCAAGACCCUGUCCCAAAAGAAAAAAAAAAAAAAAAGAAAAACAAGGGGAGGCAGAGGACACGGGGGAAGCCUGGUGCUCCCCACCAGUGCACUAAGAAUCCAAAAGGGCCAAGAUGUCAGGCUGGUUGGCCCCUCGGCAAGCUGAGCUCUGUGGCUCACAGUGGCCCUAAGAUGCUGCUGGCCAGCCUGUGGGGCCUCUCCUGCAAGUGGUGCUGUGUCAGGGCCAAAGAACGGCAGCAUAUCACGGAGCUGGUAUGUGAACUGGCAGCAUUUCGUGUAUUAACAUUCUCCAACUUUCUCCACAGCAAACACCUGAACACAGCGAACCUGAAGGUAUAGGGCAUCUUCAGGCUGCUACUGAGGCGGUCCUGCCGCACUCAACCCAGAACCUCAUCACUAAAAGGAACCUCAUGGUUCAGGUAACACAAUCCUUCAAGGUACGGAUGAGCAAGCCCAGGUCCAGAGGCAGUACGGGACCCAUCUGAGACCAUGAGGCCAUGUACCAAGCAGUCAUUCCCUGGGCUGGAGACACUCUCCCUGGGCUUUUCUUCCCUUGCCUGGCUGGAGGUGGAGGUCAUGGGAAGCAGGUGGACCCUAGAGGACCAGGCAGACUGAUCUUAGUGCCUAGGAAAGGGAGGGUCAAGAUCCCAGCUGCUGUCGGCUCCCAGCUGCUCUGCUGGGCAGGGUUGGCUGCUGCUGCUGAGCUCUGCACAUGCUCAGCAGGGGAACUGGGGCUCUGGGACCCUGCACUCUUCCUAGAGGGCACACUGCAUGAUGUGCUCAGUUCCCCAGCUGCUGGGCCGGAGCCUGAGAGGUAGCACCCUGCUGUCGUGGCUUACCUUACCCAUCAAGAACAGAGGGAGCUCACUCAGUUUAAAAUACAUUUCUGCAUCAGUUCCAAAAAGUCUAGACGAGUCACUCCUGGGGGCUUCUGAGUUAUUUCAAGGUGUCUGCAAAAUUCCAUUUUCAUGGAGCAUUUUCUCAUAAAGCAUCUUAUAAUGAAUGUCUUACACAUACGCGUACUACAGUUUCCAAAUGCAUGGCGC
ensembl:lncRNA VAC14-AS1 VAC14 antisense RNA 1